AGUGAACGCUGGCGGUAGGCCUAACACAUGCAAGUCGAACGGCAACACAGUAAGAGCUGGCUCUGACGGGUGGCGGGGGGCGGAAGGGUGAGGAACACAUCGGAAUCUACUGUUUAGCGGGGGAUAACGUAGGGAAACACACGCUAAUACCUCAGACGACCUGCGGGGGACAGCACGGCAACGUUUGACCUCGCGCGAUUGAAUGAGCCGAUGUCGGAUUAGCUAGUUGGCGGGGUAAAGGCCCACCAAGGCGACGAUCCGUAGCUGGUCUGAGAGGAUGAUCAGCCACACUGGAACUGAGACACGGUCCAGACUCCUACGGGAGGCAGCAGUGGGGAAUAUUGGACAAUGGGCGCAAGCCUGAUCCAGCCAUACCGCGUGGGUGAAGAAGGCCUUCGGGUUGUAAAGCCCUUUUGUUGGGAAAGAAAAGCAGCCGGUUAAUACCCCGCUGUUCUGACGGUACCCAAAGAAUAAGCACCGGCUAACUUCGUG
rnacentral:rRNA from 1 species